rnacentral:other from 1 species
AACAAUCUGCGGUGUUGGUGAUGUUUUAGUUGGUUUAUUCCUACAAGUCAACUUUAGAGAGCAGCAGUUGAGCAUAUGCUCGUGGGCUUAUGCCACUGCAUCUCACUUAAAAAAGAGGGCUUUAAACCUGCUAAAACUAACGGCACCUGCGGGUUUUUU